rnacentral:rRNA from 1 species
UGCGUAGGGUGCGAGCGUUAAUCGGAAUUACUGGGCGUAAAGCGUGCGCAGGCGGUUCGUUGUGUCGGCGGUGAAAGCCCCGGGCUCAACCUGGGAAUGGCCGUUGAAACUGGCGAACUGGAGUGUGGCAGAGGGGGGUGGAAUUCCGCGUGUAGCAGUGAAAUGCGUAGAGAUGCGGAGGAACACCGAUGGCGAAGGCAGCCCCCUGGGUCGACACUGACGCUCGAGGCACGAAAGCGCGGGGAGCAAACAGG